rnacentral:rRNA from 1 species
UACGGAGGGGGCUAGCGUUGUUCGGAAUUACUGGGCGUAAAGCGCACGUAGGCGGCUUUGUAAGUUAGAGGUGAAAGCCCGGGGCUCAACUCCGGAAUUGCCUUUAAGACUGCAUCGCUAGAAUUGUGGAGAGGUAAGUGGAAUUCCGAGUGUAGAGGUGAAAUUCGUAGAUAUUCGGAAGAACACCAGUGGCGAAGGCGACUUACUGGACACAUAUUGACGCUGAGGUGCGAAAGCGUGGGGGAGCAA